CUUAUUUUAUGGCUGGUUAUAAAGCCUACACAAGAGUGGCAAAACCCACACUUAUUCCAAUAUUCUUUUUCCCCUGCUAAGAAGUUUACUUUCAUUUGAAAGUUUGUUUCUUAAAUAAUUUGUUAUUAGUUAUUUAGGCAUGUUUUCAUCAUUUUAAAUACAGUAACUUUUAGAAAAUAGACUUUGACACUGUCAAGAAGCAAUAUGACCAUCCUAAUCAUCUAAGUCAGAUAGGCCUAUCACGUGUUUACCAUUAUCAGUCAAAAAGAGGGUGUCUUGUCCUGCUUCUGUAAUCUGCUCGUCCAUUCAAUCCAGUCAUCAGCAACAGAGCAUUGGGGUUCCCACCAAUAUCCAGCAACUUCGCACAGCCAUUGAAGAGUGGGGCAACAUCCUGCAGGCCACAAUCAACAGCCUACUUAAAUGUAUGCGUCGUGCUGCAUGAGGCCAUUAUUUAUUAUCCACACCUGCAGGCUAGUAGUUGGAAACAAACAAGUGUCACAUACUCAACAACUCUGUCCUCCUCCCCUUCAUAUGGGAACAAUAAUUCAGGCAGAGCAGGCCCAGUAGAUGUGAUCCGGAGACUAAAUCUUUCCCCAAUCUCUGUGGAGUCAUUACUAAAAACAACAACAACCAGGGUCUCUUUCACCAACAUUUUCAAUUGAAACUAACAGAAGCCUAAUUCUUUUAGGCAGGGGGGAAACCCGCCCUGCCUCUACCAUGGAAGAAACACUGCUGAUGAGAUUCGUUGAGCAGUACUCCCUGUGACUGGACCGAAAUACUACACAACGAAAGCCAAGGAAGCAGGAGAUAAGCAGAAUGAAGAAAUUAAAAACGGGACCAAAGGUCCACAGCCCAAUCAAGCUAAUCUGGGAGCAAACAGAGCAGAAGCAGCCGCAAGUCCUCAAUAGAGGAUAAGCCAAACUGAUCAAAUCAAAAUAAGUCCCAGAGAGGACCACAGCUACAACAAUCACUUUUAACCCUCAGAUAUAGGAGUCAAAUAGAUUUUUCAAAUACUUGUGCUACUUCAUUUAGUUUGUCCAGUAAAUUGUAAAGUACUGG
rnacentral:lncRNA from 1 species